GCUAUUAACCCUUUAACCGCCUAGGUCGAAUUAAUCCGACAAAUAUUUUCGGGCCCAUUUCGCCUGAGUCGUAUAUUUACGACCAAAAUAACACUGAUCGUUUUAUCAGCUUUUUUAUUUAAUUACGCUGUAUUCUAUCAAAAAUAUGUUUACAUUAGGUAAAUAGUUAACUAAGUAAUCGUUUACAGUUUAAUACACUUUAGCCUCUUAAUUAGAAGUCUUAAAAAUAAUGUCCAAAGUUAGAAGAAUUACUAACAUUAUUUUUAGAAAAUUGUAUUGAUGUGCAACGCCCAUGACGACAAAAUCCGACGUGAGGGACGAGACAUAUGCCAAGAUUUACCGAUACAAAAAUAAAAAUAAAUGAAAAUAUUUCUCGUUAUACUAACUAAUUAACUUUAAAUACAAAUACAGCAAUUUGUUAUUAAAAUUGUGAUAUUUUACAUUACGUUACAUUUAAGUCUAUAGGUAAACUGAUAAUGACAUGUCCAAGAGUGAAAUUUUUAUUUUUAUGUUUAUUGUUCAUUAGUGUGAUAUAAAUUGUGAUUGUGAUAAAUAUCGUUACCAUUUAAGUCUAUAUGUAAACUGAUAAUGUCCAAGAGUAACUUUUUUUAUUUUUAUUUUUGUUGUUAAUUGUUUAGUAGGCAGUGCGCGUUUCUUUAAGUACUCGUAUUCGAUCGUGUCAACGUUUACGUAGAUUUGUGGAACAUUUGUAGUUCCCGUUAUUGUCACCAGGCGUUACUUAAGUUUCAGUACAAAUCGAAGUUAACGUAGACACGAUCGACUACGUAUAAAAACUCGCACUAAAACUUAGGAGUAGGUAUAAAUCAAUACACAUAAGAACUCAUUACCUGUACCUACUUACUUUUGAGAAAUCAAUCGUUUUUCUUCUCUGGACUGAUUUUAUUUUGAAUAGCCUAAGUACGAAUUAAUAAAUCGUUCAAAUUUUCAAACA